GGAGAGGUACCCAAGAGGCUGAAGGGGCGGGUUUGCUAAACCUGUAGGGGGCCAAAAGCCCCGCGAGGGUUCGAAUCCCUCCCUCUCCGCCA
rnacentral:tRNA from 1 species